AUCCUCAGACCCCUUGUGAGACCAUAUGCUGGUGCGGUUGGCCCUGGGUUCCUCCUAAAGCAAGACAAUGCUAGAUCUCAUGUGGCUGGAGUGUGUCAGCAGUUCCUGAAGAGGAAGUCAUUGAUGCUAUGGAUAAAUUUGAUUUCCAUUGAUCAUUUUUGUGUGAUUUUGUUGUCAGCACAUUCAACUAUGUAAAGAAAGGAGUAGUGUAUUUCAUACUUCAGUUAGUAGAAACUGUGUCAGUCUCAGGACUGCCCCUACGGUAAAGUGAUUCCAGUGAAAGCCACAGCAGGUCAUGAACUCAUGUACUACGGGAAAAGUGUAGUUUCUCUAGAAUUUUAAAUGAAUAUUUCAACCAAAGACUAAUGUGUUUAGCUGUAAUUGUCUCCUCCCUCAGGAUUACCUGAUGUCAGAGCACAGGCUGGUGCAUGGUGAUGUUGCUGCCAGGAAAAUCGUUAUUUGCCCAGGCCUCUCAGCCUGGGUGUCUGGGCUAGGUGUGGCAUUUGGAGGACGCAGAAUGGAUUUAGCAAUUAGGCAGAGAGCAGCAGAGGUGCCUCUCAAAUGGCAGGCUCCAGAGAGGAUUAUGAUGCAGAUCAGUAUCAACAGGAGCAACGUGCUCUACUCCAUAUCCUGAGAUGGAGACCCCUUCUGUGCUUCCAAAGCUACAGGGGUCUUAUCGGAUGAAGAGACCAGACAAUUGUGGAGGACCUUUUAUCCCUGCACAAAUAAGGGUUGGUAAACUUGAAAUGGAUUGGUCCACAUUGUCACUGGCUGAACUCCAUAUGGUAUGGGCUGAUACUGGUAAGGCAUUUUAUCUGAUGCUACACUAUAGCAUUUUGGAGUCCCAAGGUGAUCAAAGGUGAAGAUUUUUUGGGCUCGUCUUUCCCUCUUUGGUAAGGCAUAUUCUUGCGCUCUGUGUUUUUUACCUGAAUCUGGUUGUGGGGUGGAGUUUCAUCCUUUGCAUCUCCAACUGAUUGUACAUCUUCCCUCCGAUUAUCUUCUUCCUGUGGCACAUCUUCCAACUGUGUCUCAAACUCAUUUGUGCUUGCUAUGUGUUUUUCUCCAACCAAUGACCUAUCAUCGCUCAGCACUGGUGUUUCUUGGCCACUAUCUGCUUGUGUGUUGGCAUGCUCAAUGCCUCUUUCUGCUUUGGGCUGUAUUACAGGCUAGAAAUAGUAACCGCAUUCCUCUUCAGCAUCUUCCUCGUCCUGGUUUGUACUUUCUACAUCUGUCCCAAUCAUCCUUCUUUUCUGCUGCUUAGAUGGUGCCUUUUGCUGGAUUUCCAGAGGUAAGUGGUCACAUGGUAGCAGCAGGUUGCAAUGCAUGAUUCUCGAUCUUCCUCUUCCCUGCUCAGGUUUGACUUGGGGAUGUCUUCUCCAACCUGACGGAUCACCACGUGAAUGUUGUCUUCCCAGGGAUUACGAAGUUUUCCAGUGCCUCCUCUAGGUGUCAGAUUUCAAACAAGGACACGAUUACAGUGAUGCAACACUGAGCUUCUCACUUUUCCAUAAUAACGCCUCUUACUUCUCUCUGCCGACUUCUUUGCAUUCUCUUGUACUAUCUCAUGCCUCCUACAUUUCUUGUUUCCACUUCUCCAUGUAGGUUUGAUGAUCUGUUUUUCCUGUCUCUGUGGUGAAACCAAAUAGGAGAUCAAUAGGCAACCUUGGAGACCUUCCGAAUAGAAGGUAAAAAGGGGAGAAACCAGUUACUUCACAUUGUGUACAGUUUUAAGCAUAGAUCAAUUUGUUCAAGAAUUGUUUCCAGUUCGUCUUUUGUUUAUCUGUAAGUGUCUUUAGCAUUUGCAGUGAUGUGCGGUUGAAACAUUUGUCUUCCCCAUUUCCUUGUGGAUGACAGGGUGUCGUUCGUGAUCCUAGUACCCCACAGUUGUUUUUCAGCUGGGCGAAGAGCUGGUUCUCAGAUUUGCCACCUUGAUGGUGGUGUAUCCGCAGUGGCAGUCCAAACUUCAGAGCAUAGUCGUUAAAUAUUCGAUCAGCGACAGUUUCAAUAUAUAUUCGUACCCACCUCCACAUUUGUCCAGGUGGAGAAAAUCUAUUGACACCAGUUCAAAUGGCUGCAUAGUAACGAUACUGGUAAGAGGUGAAGGUGUUUCUUUACAUGGUGUCUUUUGUUUCAGGCAUGUACAGGUCCUCGCCACAUAAUGUUCAAUGUCUUUUUGCAUGUAAUGCCAAAAGAAUCUAUCCCUGAUCAGUGAUGUUGUUAGAUCAAUGCCUUGGUGUGCCAUCUCAUCAUGCAACUCUUUUAGUACGAUGGUUUUAUACUUCUCAGGAUAUACAAGUUGUGUCUUGUUUGUUGUCUUCAUACGAAGAAUGCCAUCAUCAAUAUGAAGUCUUUCCCAUUCACGCAGUAGAAGCUUGCUUUGCAUACUGAGGGUGUUAAGUUCACGUCCUGUUGGCUUUUUGUCUCUCAAUUUGCACUGUAUUACUGGACCAAUGUUUUCAUCCUCUUGCUGUGCUUGUUGAAUCUCAGUAACUAAUAG